GGGUUGUGAGGUUAAGCGACUAAGCGUACACGGUGGAUGCCCUGGCAGUCAGAGGCGAUGAAGGACGUGCUAAUCUGCGAUAAGCGUCGGUAAGGUGAUAUGAACCGUUAUAACCGGCGAUUUCCGAAUGGGGAAACCCAGUGUGAUUCGUCACACUAUCAUUAACUGAAUCCAUAGGUUAAUGAGGCGAACCGGGGGAACUGAAACAUCUAAGUACCCCGAGGAAAAGAAAUCAACCGAGAUUCCCCCAGUAGCGGCGAGCGAACGGGGAGCAGCCCAGAGCCUGAAUCAGUGUGUGUGUUAGUGGAAGCGUCUGGAAAGGCGCGCGAUACAGGGUGACAGCCCCGUACACAAAAAUGCACAUGCUGUGAGCUCGAUGAGUAGGGCGGGACACGUGGUAUCCUGUCUGAAUAUGGGGGGACCAUCCUCCAAGGCUAAAUACUCCUGACUGACCGAUAGUGAACCAGUACCGUGAGGGAAAGGCGAAAAGAACCCCGGCGAGGGGAGUGAAAAAGAACCUGAAACCGUGUACGUACAAGCAGUGGGAGCCUCUUAAUGGGGUGACUGCGUACCUUUUGUAUAAUGGGUCAGCGACUUAUAUUCUGUAGCAAGGUUAACCGAAUAGGGGAGCCGAAGGGAAACCGAGUCUUAACUGGGCGUUAAGUUGCAGGGUAUAGACCCGAAACCCGGUGAUCUAGCCAUGGGCAGGUUGAAGGUUGGGUAACACUAACUGGAGGACCGAACCGACUAAUGUUGAAAAAUUAGCGGAUGACUUGUGGCUGGGGGUGAAAGGCCAAUCAAACCGGGAGAUAGCUGGUUCUCCCCGAAAGCUAUUUAGGUAGCGCCUCGUGAAUUCAUCUCCGGGGGUAGAGCACUGUUUCGGCAAGGGGGUCAUCCCGACUUACCAACCCGAUGCAAACUGCGAAUACCGGAGAAUGUUAUCACGGGAGACACACGGCGGGUGCUAACGUCCGUCGUGAAGAGGGAAACAACCCAGACCGCCAGCUAAGGUCCCAAAGUCAUGGUUAAGUGGGAAACGAUGUGGGAAGGCCCAGACAGCCAGGAUGUUGGCUUAGAAGCAGCCAUCAUUUAAAGAAAGCGUAAUAGCUCACUGGUCGAGUCGGCCUGCGCGGAAGAUGUAACGGGGCUAAACCAUGCACCGAAGCUGCGGCAGCGACGCUUAUGCGUUGUUGGGUAGGGGAGCGUUCUGUAAGCCUGCGAAGGUGUACUGUGAGGUAUGCUGGAGGUAUCAGAAGUGCGAAUGCUGACAUAAGUAACGAUAAAGCGGGUGAAAAGCCCGCUCGCCGGAAGACCAAGGGUUCCUGUCCAACGUUAAUCGGGGCAGGGUGAGUCGACCCCUAAGGCGAGGCCGAAAGGCGUAGUCGAUGGGAAACAGGUUAAUAUUCCUGUACUUGGUGUUACUGCGAAGGGGGGACGGAGAAGGCUAUGUUGGCCGGGCGACGGUUGUCCCGGUUUAAGCGUGUAGGCUGGUUUUCCAGGCAAAUCCGGAAAAUCAAGGCUGAGGCGUGAUGACGAGGCACUACGGUGCUGAAGCAACAAAUGCCCUGCUUCCAGGAAAAGCCUCUAAGCAUCAGGUAACAUCAAAUCGUACCCCAAACCGACACAGGUGGUCAGGUAGAGAAUACCAAGGCGCUUGAGAGAACUCGGGUGAAGGAACUAGGCAAAAUGGUGCCGUAACUUCGGGAGAAGGCACGCUGAUAUGUAGGUGAAGUCCCUUGCGGAUGGAGCUGAAAUCAGUCGAAGAUACCAGCUGGCUGCAACUGUUUAUUAAAAACACAGCACUGUGCAAACACGAAAGUGGACGUAUACGGUGUGACGCCUGCCCGGUGCCGGAAGGUUAAUUGAUGGGGUUAGCGGUAACGCGAAGCUCUUGAUCGAAGCCCCGGUAAACGGCGGCCGUAACUAUAACGGUCCUAAGGUAGCGAAAUUCCUUGUCGGGUAAGUUCCGACCUGCACGAAUGGCGUAAUGAUGGCCAGGCUGUCUCCACCCGAGACUCAGUGAAAUUGAACUCGCUGUGAAGAUGCAGUGUACCCGCGGCAAGACGGAAAGACCCCGUGAACCUUUACUAUAGCUUGACACUGAACAUUGAGCCUUGAUGUGUAGGAUAGGUGGGAGGCUUUGAAGUGUGGACGCCAGUCUGCAUGGAGCCGACCUUGAAAUACCACCCUUUAAUGUUUGAUGUUCUAACGUUGGCCCCUAAUCGGGGUUGCGGACAGUGUCUGGUGGGUAGUUUGACUGGGGCGGUCUCCUCCUAAAGAGUAACGGAGGAGCACGAAGGUUGGCUAAUCCUGGUCGGACAUCAGGAGGUUAGUGCAAUGGCAUAAGCCAGCUUGACUGCGAGCGUGACGGCGCGAGCAGGUGCGAAAGCAGGUCAUAGUGAUCCGGUGGUUCUGAAUGGAAGGGCCAUCGCUCAACGGAUAAAAGGUACUCCGGGGAUAACAGGCUGAUACCGCCCAAGAGUUCAUAUCGACGGCGGUGUUUGGCACCUCGAUGUCGGCUCAUCACAUCCUGGGGCUGAAGUAGGUCCCAAGGGUAUGGCUGUUCGCCAUUUAAAGUGGUACGCGAGCUGGGUUUAGAACGUCGUGAGACAGUUCGGUCCCUAUCUGCCGUGGGCGCUGGAGAACUGAGGGGGGCUGCUCCUAGUACGAGAGGACCGGAGUGGACGCAUCACUGGUGUUCGGGUUGUCAUGCCAAUGGCACUGCCCGGUAGCUAAAUGCGGAAGAGAUAAGUGCUGAAAGCAUCUAAGCACGAAACUUGCCCCGAGAUGAGUUCUCCCUGACUCCCUGAGAGUCCUGAAGGAACGUUGAAGACGACGACGUUGAUAGGCCGGGUGUGUAAGCGCAGCGAUGCGUUGAGCUAACCGGUACUAAUGAACCGUGAGGCUUAACCUUACAACGCCGAAGCUGUU
rnacentral:rRNA from 1 species